rnacentral:rRNA from 1 species
CCUGGCGGAGGCCACUGCUAUCGGAGUUCGAUUAAGCCAUGCGAGUCGAGAGGUGCAAGACCUCGGCAUACUGCUCAGUAACACGUGGACAACCUACCCUAAGGAGGGGGAUAACCCCGGGAAACUGGGGAUAAUACCCCAUAGACUAUGGAAGCUGGAAUGCUCUGUAGCCGAAAGGUCCGCCGCCUUAGGAUGGGUCUGCGGCCGAUUAGGUUGUUGUUGGGGUAACGGCCCAACAAGCCUGUAAUCGGUACGGGUUGUGGGAGCAAGAGCCCGGAGAUGGAUUCUGAGACACGAAUCCAGGCCCUACGGGGCGCAGCAGGCGCGAAAACUUUACAAUGCGGGAAACCGUGAUAAGGGAACUCCGAGUGCCCGUUAAAUCGGGCUGUCCAUCAGUUUAAAUAACUGGUGAAGAAAGGGCCGGGCAAGACCGGUGCCAGCCGCCGCGGUAAUACCGGCGGCUCGAGUGGUGGCCACUAUUACUGGGCUUAAAGCGUUCGUAGCUGGUCUGUUAAGUCUCUGGGGAAAUCUACCGGCUUAACCGGUAGGCGUCUCAGGGAUACUGGCAGACUAGGGACCGGGAGAGGUGAGGGGUACUCCAGGGGUAGGAGUGAAAUCCUGUAAUCCUUGGGGGACCACCUGUGGCGAAGGCGCCUCACCGGAACGGCUCCGACAGUGAGGGACGAAAGCUGGGGGAGCAAACCGGAUUAGAUACCCGGGUAGUCCCAGCUGUAAACGAUGCGCGUUAGGUGUAUCGGUGACCACGAGUCACCGAGGUGCCGAAGAGAAAUCGUGAAACGUGCCGCCUGGGAAGUACGGUCGCAAGGCUGAAACUUAAAGGAAUUGGCGGGGGAGCACCACAACGGGUGGAGCCUGCGGUUUAAUCGGACUCAACGCCGGAAAACUCACCGGACAAGACAGCUGAAUGAUAGUCGGGCUGAAGACUCUACUUGACUAGCUGAGAGGAGGUGCAUGGCCGUCGUCAGUUCGUACUGUGAAGCAUCCUGUUAAGUCAGGCAACGAGCGAGACCCA